UACGUAGGGUGCGAGCGUUAAUCGGAAUUACUGGGCGUAAAGCGUGCGCAGGCGGUUUUGUAAGCCAGAUGUGAAAUCCCCGGGCUCAACCUGGGAAUGGCAUUUGGGACUGCAAGGCUUGAGUGCGGCAGAGGAGACUGGAAUUCCUGGUGUAGCAGUGAAAUGCGUAGAUAUCAGGAGGAAUACCGAUGGCGAAGGCAGGUCUCUGGGCUGACACUGACGCUGAGUGCGCGAAAGCCAGGGGAGCAAACGGG
rnacentral:rRNA from 1 species